rnacentral:rRNA from 1 species
GACGAACGCUGGCGGCGUGCUUAACACAUGCAAGUCGAACGGAAAGGCCCUGCUUUUGUGGGGUGCUCGAGUGGCGAACGGGUGAGUAACCCGUGAGUAACCUGCCCUUGACUUUGGGAUAACUUCAGGAAACUGGGGCUAAUACCGGAUAGGAGCUCCUGCUGCAUGGUGGGGGUUGGAAAGUUUCGGCGGUUGGGGAUGGACUGGCGGCUUAUCAGCUUGUUGGUGGGGUACUGGCUUACCAAGGCUUUGACGGGUAGCCGGCCUGAGAGGGUGACCGGCCACAUUGGGACUGAGAUACGGACCAGACUCCUACGGGAGGCAGCAGUGGGGAAUAUUGCACAAUGGGCGGAAGCCUGAUGCAGCAGCGCCGCGUGCGGGAUGACGGCCUUCGGGUUGUAAACCGCUUUCGCCUGUGACGAAGCGUGAGUGACGGUAAUGGGUAAAGAAGCACCGGCUAACUACGUG